rnacentral:misc_RNA from 1 species
GAAGCCAAGCAGACCUGCACAGAAG